CGCACCUUGCGCUCCCUGGUAUUCCGGGGAGCACGCCUGUUCGAGUGUCGUGAAUACCUCAAGCCGGAUGCUUUAUUGUCAUCUUUGGGCUUGGAUUUGGACUUUGCCGCAAGCCUUGAAUGGCGACGGCUGGUCUUAAAAGCAUUAGCUGCUCCAUGUUUGUACACUUGGUUCUACUCGGCGUGAUAAGUUCAUGACCGCUGAGGACAUCCCGUCUGUAAGGCGGGAUGGCCGAGAGUGCCUUGGAGCGCUGCCAAUCGUCUUGACGGACAACUAUUUUCAACUUUGACCUCGAAUCAGGCGGGACUACCCGCUGAACUUA
rnacentral:rRNA from 1 species